GGUUUGUGAGGGCGAUCUGUCUGCGACAUCUGUCACCCCAUUGAUUGCCAGAGUUGAUUCGGCUGAUCUGGCUGGCUAGGCGGGUGUCCCCUUCCUCCCUCACCGCUCCAUGUGCGUCCCUCUGGAAGCUGCACGCUCGGUGGAAGAGGACGACCAUCCCAGACAGAAAGAGCGUACUGUUCUUCUGUCAAGGGUGUACGAUAGCUGCGCUCCCCUGCUACAACCUCCGAACAAGCAUCCUUUAGAUAGAUUACGGACUUUCAUCUAUAGCUGGCUAUAAGAG